GGGCAACCUGCCUCAUAGAGGGGAAUACCCUCCCGAAAGGGAGAGUAAUACCGCAUAAGAUUGUGGCUUCGCAUGAAGUAGCAAUUAAAGGAGCAAUCCGCUAUGAGAUGGGCCCGCGGCGCAUUAGCUAGUUGGUGAGGUAACGGCUCACCAAGGCGACGAUGCGUAGCCGACCUGAGAGGGUGAUCGGCCACAUUGGGACUGAGACACGGCCCAGACUCCUACGGGAGGCAGCAGUGGGGAAUAUUGCAUAAUGGGGGAAACCCUGAUGCAGCAACGCCGCGUGAGUGAUGACGGCCUUCGGGUUGUAAAGCUCUGUCUUCAGGGACGAUAAUGACGGUACCUGAGGAGGAAGCCACGGCUAACUACGUGCCAGCAGCCGCGGUAAUACGUAGGUGGCGAGCGUUGUCCGGAUUUACUGGGCGUAAAGGGAGCGUAGGCGGACUUUUAAGUGAGAUGUGAAAUACCCGGGCUCAACUUGGGUGCUGCAUUUCAAACUGGAAGUCUAGAGUGCAGGAGAAGAGAAUGGAAUUCCUAGUGUAGCGGUGAAAUGCGUAGAGAUUAGGAAGAACACCAGUGGCGAAGGCGAUUCUCUGGACUGUAACUGACGCUGAGGCUCGAAAGCGUGGGGAGCAAACAGGAUUAGAUACCCUG
rnacentral:rRNA from 1 species